AUUGAACGCUGGCGGCAGGCCUAACACAUGCAAGUCGAGCGGCGCGGCGGACGGGUGAGUGAUGCCUAGGAAUCUGCCUGGGAGUGGGGGAUAACGUCCGGAAACGGGCGCUAAUACCGCAUACUAUCAGAUCAGCCUAGGUCGGAUUAGCUAGAUGGUGGGGUAAAGGCCUACCAAGGCGACGAUCCGUAUCUGGUCUGAGAGGAUGAUCAGUCACACUGGAACUGAGACAUGGUCCAGACUCCUACGGGAGGCAGCAGUGGGGAAUAUUGGACAAUGGGCGAAAGCCUGAUCCAGCCAUGCCGCUUGUGUGAAGAAGGUCUUCGGAUUGUAAAGCACUUUGAGUUGGGAGGCGUUACCUACCGAAUAAGCACCGGCUAACUUCGUGCCAGCAGCCGCGGUAAUUC
rnacentral:rRNA from 1 species